GUAGUCGUGGCCGAGUGGUGAAGGGGACAGACUAGAAAUCUCUUGGGAUUUUACCGCGCAUGUUCAAAUCCUGCCGACUACG
rnacentral:tRNA from 1 species